ACAUGCGAGAGAUGAGUUUGGAUUGGUCUGCGCUGUUUCAUAUUGUGUCUACUGUAGUUUAUAACAUUUAAAUAUAUAAUGUUAGCCACGGAUAAUUGCAAAUAUGUUGCUACUGCUCUCAAUAAUAUUGCCUCUCUGAAUUUAUCAGGCGCUCUCGAAUAAGGUCAGUGGGAAAAAGUUGUAAUGGACUACUUUCUGGACGAUGAAUGCUGACUCUCUCUCACUCUGAAAAUAACACUUUUUGAACUCAGUAGAACACAACGGACCAAACAAGCUGUGCAAACUAAACGGAAACAACACAGGAUGUCUUAUUAAAGGGGUAUCAGUCUACCGUGAAGGUUUCAUCCAUGUAUACAGUAGAACACGCCUGACUCUGAUCCACCAGUCAUAGUCAUCAAAAAGAGAGGAAGCGCAAGCAAAGGCAGCAGCGCAGUCAUCAACUGCAGGCACCAUUUCUUGGAAAAACACGUGUGGACCUGAAUUGUGAUAACUGCAGUGGCCAAAACAAGAACAAGUUUGUGCUCUGGUAUUGUGCCUGGUGGACCAUGCACAAGCUCCAGCACAAUCUGGACCUUCACUUCCUGAUCACAGGCCACACCAAGUUUGCCACCAGACUGACGCUUCGGCCUCAUCAAGCAGCUCUUCAAAAAGACCAGAGUGAACACUUUGUCUGAGAUUGCUGGUGUUGUGAAGGACAGCACUGUGACAGGGGUCAACAUCCCACAGCUGGUUGGACUGGAGGAUGUUACGGUGCUGGUGGAAAGCUAUGGCUGGCAACAACACCUGACUCCAUACUUCAGGCUGCUGCCACAAAUCAAGCAGUACCAGCACUUCAGCUAAGAGGCUUUGGAGCUUGAUGUUGUCGCCAAGGAGCAUUCGGACUGUCAUGAUCAGGUUUCAGCUGCUGUGCUACGCUGACAUCCAUCCUCCCAUAGAUGGUCUGCCUGUAAAAGCACCACCUGGACUGGACACAGCUAGACAAACGAUAUUUUUGACAAGAUCAGGGAGUUUUGCGACGAAAAGGCUAUGGACAAUCCAAGCCCUGCACCAAAGUCAAGGGCAGGACAGAAACAGGCUCUCUGAAUAUAGAUUCCCUUGUUCAUGCGUGGUUUGGACGGACCAGUCAUCUGUACUAUCUGCAGUGCCUCUAUUCACAUGACUCUCUCCUAACACACACGCCAUACGUUGUUGCUACUAUUUUUUUGUUUAUCCCGCUGCUCAGCCACUUUACCCCUGAUUGUAUGCAUAUAACUACCUCGUAUAUCACUGAUAUCGUUAUUGAUAUUGUUCUAGUACAUACUGUAUAUUUGAUUUACAUUGACACUAUCUAUUUCUGAUAUUGCUACUAUGCACUAACAAUUUUGCUGUACCGUUUACACCUUCUGUAGAGACCAAUGACUUAGCAAGACUGCAAAAUAUUGAUAUAUAAAAUGUAUAUUGAUGUGUGGUUGUAACAUGAUUUUGUGACAUACCACAACAACAUCAUGUGACCGUGUCAAGUGUCUACCACAUAAAUAUAAGUGACGCAUGUAUCUGUUUAUGUACUGCACAUGUGCAAAAAAACAAACUCACUCAGGUUGUAUGGCCUUAACUUAUGUAUAUAAUACUAUGUGAUAAGUGGAUGUGUAACAGUAUAUAAAGUAUGCUAAUGUACUGGUGUGAAGGCAUUUGGGCAGUGGUGUAAAGUACUUAAGUAAAAAUACUUUACAGUA